rnacentral:lncRNA from 1 species
CCUACCCGCGCGACUGUGUCCACGGAUGGCACGAAAGCCAAGCGAGUCCCCCUGCCGAGCUACUCGCGUCCGCCUCCUCCCAAGCUGAGCUCUGCUCCGCCCACCUGAGUCCUUCGCCAGUUAGGAGGAAACACAGCCGCUUAAUGAACUGCUGCAUCGGGCUGGGAGAGAAAGCUCGCGGGUCCCACCGGGCCUCCUACCCAAGUCUCAGCGCGCUUUUCACCGAGGCCUCAAUUCUGGGAUUUGGCAGCUUUGCUGUGAAAGCCCAAGUGGGUAACCAACAGCUUGGAGGACCCGAGUGGAUUCGAUUCUCUCUCACUCCUCGGCCACUCAACUGCUCCUUGUCCCUGACUCCGCGGUAGCCUGGAAGGCUCUCUCUCUUUCUCUACGCCACCCUUUUCGUGGCACUGAAAAGCCCCGUCCUCUCCUCCCAGUCCCGCCUCCUCCGAGCGUUCCCCCUACUGCCUGGAAUGGUGCGGUCCCAGGUCGCGGGUCACGCGGCGGAGGGGGCGUGGCCUGCCCCCGGCCCAGCCGGCUCUUCUUUGCCUCUGCUGGAGUCCGGGGAGUGGCGUUGGCUGCUAGAGCGAUGCCGGGCCGGAGUUGCGUCGCCUUAGUCCUCCUGGCUGCCGCCGUCAGCUGUGCCGUCGCGCAGCACGCGCCGCCGUGGACAGAGGACUGCAGAAAAUCAACCUAUCCUCCUUCAGGACCAACGUACAGAGGUGCAGUUCCAUGGUACACCAUAAAUCUUGACUUACCACCCUACAAAAGAUGGCAUGAAUUGAUGCUUGACAAG